UACGAAGGACCCGAGCGUUAUCCGGAUUUAUUGGGUUUAAAGGGUGCGUAGGCGGGUCAUUAAGUCAGUGGUGAAAGCCUACAGCUUAACUGUAGAAUUGCCAUUGAUACUGAUGAUCUUGAGUAUGAUUGAGGUGGGCGGAAUGUGUCAUGUAGCGGUGAAAUGCUUAGAUAUGACACAGAACACCGAUUGCGAAGGCAGCUCACUAAGUCAUAACUGACGCUGAUGCACGAAAGCGUGGGGAGCAAACAGG
rnacentral:rRNA from 1 species